rnacentral:rRNA from 1 species
GUCUACCGCCAUACCACCCUGAACUUGUCCAAUCUCGUCUGAUCUCAGAAGCUAAGCAGGGUCGGGUCUGGCUGGUACUCAGAUGGGAGAGAGAGAACGGGUGCGCCAGGGC